rnacentral:rRNA from 1 species
CAGCAGCCGCGGGAAUACGGAGGGUGCAAGCGUUAAUCGGAAUUACUGGGCGUAAAGCGCACGCAGGCGGUCUGUCAAGUCAGAUGUGAAAUCCCCGGGCUUAACCUGGGAACUGCAUUUGAAACUGGCAGGCUGGAGUCUUGUAGAGGGGGGUAGAAUUCCAGGUGUAGCGGUGAAAUGCGUAGAGAUCUGGAGGAAUACCGGUGGCGAAGGCGGCCCCCUGGACAAAGACUGACGCUCAGGUGCGAAAGCGUGGGGAGCAAACAGGAUUAGAUACCCCAGUAGUCCCUGUCUCUUAUAC